CACACUGCUCAGUGUUCUGCUGAAUGCUUAUUCAGGAGAGUUUAACAAUGGUUUUAUGACGGCAGAAUAAUACAAGCAAGCACUGGUGGAGGUAUUCAGUAUUAACGCUGAAAAAUGACUUCAUGCUAAUGGCGGCGUGAUCCAAGGAAAAUGGGAAAGAUUGGACUUUCCAUUGGAUAACAAGCAUCCUAUUUUUCCAGGCUCGGUGUGCAAGGAAACACCGCUACGGCUGCACGGUUAGCGUAGCGUCUCAUCAUUGAUCUUUGCUGAUGUAGACUGUUUCUGGGGCCUUUUUCAUCAGAGAAGGAGGAGAGAGAGGGAGAGUCUGGGCACCCUCCCCUCACCGCGUCCCUCUCAGACAGGCUGCCUAUUGGUGGAAGAGGCCACCUGGAGCAAGUUUGGAGGUGUUGUUUAUGCUAAAGCUAUUACUCUCUGGCUGGGCAGCCUGCCCCGAGAGCUGGACUGGUCUGCUGCUACUGAAUUAUUCAGGCCAGAGAGCUGCCAUCCUAUGUAUACAAGCUGUCACAUGUAGCUGAAUGAUACGCUGAUUGUCUGGCAAUGAGGAGUUUGUUACCUAGAGUUUAAAUAUGUGAUAGAUUUAUAUGGAAGCUGUACGCCUGUGACGUAAUAUCUAGUAUAUGAUGAAAUGUCGGGCUUGUCGUUUGGUUAUGUCACGGCCUCAUUAAACAGUCCUGACAAUGCAGGACACCCAACUUGAGGCGAAACUGGGUUACACAGUCUAGCUUCCACAAUAGACUGAAUGAUGACAACAUCUCACAUACCAGAGGUCCAGGCACCAGAAACCUCAUCUGCUUCAAGAAUAGCCACAGCCUCGCAGCAACUGCCGCUUCUCUGACCUAUAAUAACAUGUCAUGGGACCUCGAGCAUCAUUUCAUCCUGCGCUGAGUUUAUAAACUUCAUCUUUCCUGCCACUACAAGUUUCCAGAAGAAUUCACCUCAAACACGUGAUCCUGGAUUUCUCUCUUCUAUUUACACAGAGCCCAGUGUGAUAAGUGGUGUGUGUGUGUGUACGUGGAGGUAUGCCUGUGUCCUCUUCAUCACCGUUGCAGCGAGCUCGGCUCCGGAGGAGAACAGCAGGGCCUUUCUUUAGGUGGAGGAUUGAAUCAGUGAUGACAGUCUCAUGACAUCUUCCUCUCUCUGACACACACAAACACACAUACACACACACACACACACACACACACACACUGUCUGGUGUGUUGCUAUCCUACUGUGCAACACAUACACAACACGGGUCAGUAGGUCAAAGUUGGGUGGCAAAAUGCCAUAUUGGAAGGUGCUUUUCAUAACAUGAUGUACACUGUUUAUGUCACAAAAUAAUUCAUCUUCAACCAGUUACUUAAGUGUGUGUGUGUGUGUGUGUGUGUGUGUGUGUGUGUGUGUGUGUGUGUGUGUGUGUGUGUGUGUGUGUGAGUGUGUGUAGGAGAAAGUAAGUGAUAAAUUACCAAAUACAACACAAUAUAAUAUUACAUCUAAAAAAUAUUUUCUUGGACAAAUAAAUACAUCCAAAUAUUAAAAAAAAUAUAUACAUUAAAUUUCCAACCUGCAUUGUGUUCAGGUAAACAAA